GAUGAACGCUAGCGGCAGGCUUAAUACAUGCAAGUCGAGGGGCAGCAGGGUAGCAAUAUCGCUGGCGACCGGCGCACGGGUGCGUAACACGUAUACAAUCUGCCUUUAACAGGGGGAUAGCCCGGAGAAAUCCGGAUUAAUACCCCAUAAUAGUAGAACUGGCAUCAGUUUUAUUUGAAAGCUCCGGCGGUUAAAGAUGAGUAUGCGUCUGAUUAGCUAGUUGGUGAGGUAACGGCUCACCAAGGCGACGAUCAGUAGGGGAUCUGAGAGGAUUAACCCCCCACACGGAUACUGAGACACGGAUCCGACUCCUACGGGAGGCAGCAGUAAGGAAUAUUGGACAAUGCCCGCAAGGGUGAUCCAGCCAUGCCGCGUGCAGGAAGACGGCCCUAUGGGUUGUAAACUGCUUUUACACCGGAGAAAACCUCCCCUCGUGAGGGGAGCUGAUAGUAUGGUGAGAAUAAGCAUCGGCUAACUUCGUGCCAGCAGCCG
rnacentral:rRNA from 1 species